rfam:Helianthus annuus linkage group 9, whole genome shotgun sequence.
AUACAUUUCUCGGCCUUUUGGCUAAGAUCAAGUGUAAUAUUUGUUCUUAUUAGUUUAAUAUUUGAUAUGCUGGUCAUCGCCCCACUUGAGCAUCCACCGGCAUCACUUGUGUGUUGUAUGUGUUUUAAUUUGUAUGUAUGCCGAAAUACAAAACGUAAAACAAACAAA